AAAGUCGUAACAAGGUCUCCGUUGGUGAACCAGCGGAGGGAUCAUUACCGAGUUUUCUACUCCCAAACCCCUGUGAACUUAUACCUUUACCGUUGCUUCGGCGGGUUAACGCCCCGGAAAGGCCCCCGAAAGGGAGCCGCCCCGGAACCAGGCGCCCGCCGGGGGACCCAAACUCUUGUAUUUUCUUACCUAGCAUGUCUGAGUGGAAUCAUAAACAAAUGAAUCAAAACUUUCAACAACGGAUCUCUUGGUUCUG
rnacentral:misc_RNA from 1 species